rnacentral:rRNA from 1 species
GUCUUAAUUAAAGAUAUUGAAUUUAACUUUUAAGUGAAAAGGCUUAAAUGAUCUGGAGGGACGAUAAGACCCUAUAAAACUUUAUAUUUAAGAGUAGAAAUUAGUUUUAUUUAAAGUUUGCUGUUUUAUAAUAUUUGGUUGGGGUGACGGGGACAGAAGAAGGAGUAACUGUCUUUUUUUUUUUUACAAAGAUAUUUGGUUUAAUGAUCCUAAAAUGGAUUAAAGAUUAAGUUACUUUAGGGAUAACAGCGUAAUUUUCUUUAAGAGUUCUUAUCGACAGGAAAGUUUGCGACCUCGAUGUUGAAUUAAAGGUUCUUUAUAGAGUAGAAACUAUAA